rnacentral:rRNA from 1 species
UCCAACCUGCCGAUGACUCGGGGAUAGCCUUUCGAAAGAAAGAUUAAUACCCGAUGGCAUAGUUCUUCCGCAUGGUGGAACUAUUAAAGAAUUUCGGUCAUCGAUGGGGAUGCGUUCCAUUAGGUUGUUGGCGGGGUAACGGCCCACCAAGCCUUCGAUGGAUAGGGGUUCUGAGAGGAAGGUCCCCCACAUUGGAACUGAGACACGGUCCAAACUCCUACGGGAGGCAGCAGUGAGGAAUAUUGGUCAAUGGACGAGAGUCUGAACCAGCCAAGUAGCGUGAAGGAUGACUGCCCUAUGGGUUGUAAACUUCUUUUAUACGGGAAUAAAGUGAGGCACGUGUGCCUUUUUGUAUGUACCGUAUGAAUAAGGAUCGGCUAACUCCGUGCCAGCAGCCGCGGUAAUACGGAGGAUCCGAGCGUUAUCCGGAUUUAUUGGGUUUAAAGGGAGCGUAGGCGGACGCUUAAGUCAGUUGUGAAAGUUUGCGGCUCAACCGUAAAAUUGCAGUUGAUACUGGGUGUCUUGAGUACAGUAGAGGCAGGCGGAAUUCGUGGUGUAGCGGUGAAAUGCUUAGAUAUCACGAAGAACUCCGAUUGCGAAGGCAGCUUGCUGGACUGUAACUGACGCUGAUGCUCGAAAGUGUGGGUAUCAAACAGGAUUAGAUACCCUGGUAGUCCACACAGUAAACGAUGAAUACUCGCUGUUUGCGAUAUACAGUAAGCGGCCAAGCGAAAGUGUUAAGUAUUCUACCUGGGGAGUAC